rnacentral:rRNA from 1 species
CUACGGGGCGCACCAGUGAGGAAUAUUGGUCAAUGGGCGCGAGCCUGAACCAGCCAUCCCGCGUGCAGGAUGACGGCCCUAUGGGUUGUAAACUGCUUUUCUAUGCCAAGAAACCCUGUUACGAGUAACAGGUUGCCGGUAGCAUAGGAAUAAGCAUCGGCUAACUCCGUGCCAGCAGCCGCGGUAAUACGGAGGAUGCAAGCGUUAUCCGGAUUCAUUGGGUUUAAAGGGUGCGCAGGUGGGCUUGUAAGUCAGUGGUGAAAUGCUGCCGCUUAACGGUAGAACUGCCAUUGAUACUGCGAGUCUAGAGUAUGGUUGAGGUAGGCGGAAUGUGUUGUGUAGCGGUGAAAUGCAUAGAUAUGACACAGAACGCCAAUUGCGAAGGCAGCUUACUAAGCCAUUACUGACGCUGAGGCACGAAAGCGUGGGGAGCGAACAGGAUUAGAUACCCCGGUAGUC